CCUCUAAUUGGUCAGUUGCUUUGUGCUCCCAUUUGCUAAGACCAACUAACGCGGGUUCUUCAAGGAGCUGUGUCAACUUGCCAUGGCCUGUUUGUAAAACGUUUAAACUUGAUUGAUGCAACAAGAAUGUCUUCAGUUGAUAUGUACCGCGUUCUCGGCACACUACGUUCUCUUUAUGGCCAUGUACAGACAUUGAGGGAAUUUGUGGACGGAAUUGAGUUCCAAGAUGGACACAGGACCGUUCUCGUAAAACAAACGGACACAAACCGCUUCAAAACCUUCGUGCGGGACGUUUUUGUUUGCUGCAACGGGGAGCGACCGCAGGCGCCAAGCAGACACCAGAUCUGCACAUUAUCUGAGCUACUGGCCUUCGUUCUCAACAGCCUGAAAAGAAAAAGGAAACGAAACAUCUUAAUACGUGGCUACAGUCUGCUGCACAGGGCUGAGAAGGAGCGUGAUGCUGACCACUUCAAAUUCCAAGGGGAUAUCAGUCAAAAUGCCUCCUACAUCCUCGGCAGCGACCAUUGGAAGACGAUCACCAUGCGCCUCGGCACUGACCUCGCACGCUACCUGCUGGAGAGCUGCUCUGUGUUCAUAGCCGUCCCUCCUUCCUGUGCCUUCCAGUUGUGCGGCGCUCCUGUUUAUGACCGGGUCUCCAUGACGACAACCCCCUCGGUGUUUUCCCUCCAGGCUCGAUCUGGACAACAUCGUAAUGCAGUGGCUGUGAAAAGGAAACGCGAUACCGGGACUAAGAAAAAAAGGUGCUGGAUGGAUGUGAUGAUGCAGAGCAGGAAAAGGAAGAGAGAGGAAGAGGAGAUGGUUGGUUCCCAUAAGAGGAGACGUGUAGGAGAGCAUGCAGCCAGGCAGGAAGUGGAGCCUGUGGGAAGCAUCUCUGACCAAGCAGCAGAAAAAAACACGACUCCUUUGGAAGGAGGUCCUAGUUGGAGAACAGGGAAUUUCCCCCCCUUGCCUACCUCGCAGUGCUUUAUACGCACCUUGGCGUUCCUCUAUGGCGGCAAGGGCAUGCAUGGUUUUCUUCUCAACAGGACGAACGGAUCUAGAAGACUAAAAGGUCAGGAUUUGGUCAGAGUAGUCUUCUUUGAAGGACUGGCGUACCUCAAUGGGUUCAGGAGCAACCCACAGAGACUCCCCCAGCGCUUCUUUCACAUGAUUCCCCUCUUUAGCCGACUGUUGCGUCAACACAGGAGGUGUCACUACAGCAGUAUACUGCAUAGGACGUGUCCUCUAUUGGCGAGAGAUGAGUCAAAAGAGGAGUUCAGCUCACUUUUGUCCCAAUAUUGUGUACCUCACCGUGUGUACCUGUUUGUAAGGAAGUGCCUGCUCGCUGUCGUCCCAUGGCAGUUUUGGGGCUCGGAGGAAAACCGGUGCCAUUUUCUUGCACGUGUUCGAGGCUUCUUGCACAGCAGCAAGUUUUACAAACUUUCACUUGCUGAACUGAUGUGGAAAAUGAAGGUGAAUGACUGCGAUUGGAUGAAGAUCAGCAAGAAAGGUCGGAUCCCGCCCAGUGAGCUUGCAUAUCGGACUCGGGUACUCGGUCAGCUGCUGGCUUGGCUUCUGGACGGCUAUGUGGUUGGCCUGGUACGAGCCUGUUUCUACGUCACAGAGAGUGUCGGUCAAAAGAACGCCCUGAGGUUCUACAGGAAGGAUGUUUGGACCAAAGUGCAGAACCUGGCCCUGAGAGCUCAUGUCUCUAAGAGGUACAUGAAGGAGUUAACGCCGACCGAGGUGAAAUCACUGCCUAAAAGCACCGUCUUCUCCCGUCUGCGCUUCAUCCCAAAGAAGGAUCGCAUGAGGCCCAUCACUCGGGUUUUGCGAGCAGACGCCCAGGCCAGGUUCUUACAAGCGCAUGUGCGUGAUGUGAGGGAUAUACUGUGGGCCUGCGUGCAGGCCGACCCAUCCCUGCAGGGAUCCACAGUGUGGGGGCUGAAUGACAUCCAUAAGGUUUUGUCCAAUUUUGCUCCAGACCAGACGGAGACGCAAAAGCCCUUCUUUUUUGCUAAGGUGGACGUCAGCGGCGCUUUCGACAGUCUGCCUCAUAACAAACUUCUCGGUGUGAUUAAGAAUGCACUGUCACCUGUCCAAGACGAGCCUGUUACCGUACGCAGCUAUGCCAAGGUCUGGGCGGACUCCCACGAGGGCCUGAGGAAGUCCUUUGUUCAACAGGCUGACUUCCUACACGAUGACAUGGGAUCCAACAACAUGAAGAGCUUUGUGGCAGCACUGCAGAGAUCCGGCAGCGUUCAUCACUCCAUACUGGUGGAGCAGCACUGUUCAUCACAAACUAAUGGAAAAGAGGUCUUGGACUUCUUUCGCAAAAUAUUGACAAGCAGUGUUGUACAGAUUGGGAAGAAAACAUACCGUCAGCAUCGAGGGAUUCCUCAGGGGUCCGUUGUGUCCAGUUUGCUCUGCUGUCUCUGCUACGGUCACAUGGAGAAGACGAUGUUCACUGGCACGACUGGCAGGAAAGGACGAUUGAUGAGGCUGGUGGAUGAUUUCCUUCUGAUCACCCCUGACCUCAAAGAGGCACAGAACUUCAUCAAACUCUUGCUCACCGGCAUCCCCGAGUAUGGCGUGGUCACCAAUCGGGGGAAGGUGGUGGUCAACUUUAAAUUGUCAGAAGACCUGGUUAGCACCGGCAUCCACACUCUACCCGCCCACUGCCUCUUCCCCUGGUGCGGCUUGUUGCUGGACACGCUCUCACUCGACGUCCAUAAAGAUUAUUCCAGCUACGCAGGCCUAUCGCUGCGUUACAGCCUCACUCUGGGAUCUUUCCGCUCAGCCGGGGAGCAUAUGAGGAGGAAGCUGAUGAUGAUCCUCAGACUCAAGUGCCAUCCCCUCUUCUUGGACCUGAAGAGAAGUUCCUUGGCGGUGGUCUACAAGAACAUCUACAAGGUGUUUCUACUCCAUGCAUUCAGAUUCCAUUUGUGUGCACAGAGUUUACCCUUUGGCCAAACGGUUGCCAAGAACCCAGUCUACUUCCAGCAGAUGAUACUGGACAUGGGCUACUACGCCAAACAGCUCUUCAGGCGUAGCAACAAAGACUGCAUGGACCUAGCUAGCUUGGUGCCGCAAGAGGCAGUGGAGUUGCUUGUCUGCCUUUCCUUUUUGCUGGUGUUGUCGCAGCAUCGCCCCGUCUACAAGCAGGUGCUGCCCCGGCUGCAUGAAUGGAAGCAUAGUCUGGAAUGCCAUCUGGAGGAUUUCAAGCUGGCCUUCGUGAGAAAAGCCGCCAGACCACGUAUCCCUGUGGAGUUUUUGGCCAUCAAAAUGACCAAUCUCGUGACACUCCUGGCAGGAUUGAAAAGAGCAGAAGAAACGAGUACUUUUUCAUCCCAUAGAUGUAAACGACUCCGAUAACCUCGAAAAAUGCGAUAAUGAGCAGGGGGAUGGAGCCCACGUAGCUGUUGAAGACCUCCACCCAGUAGUUCCCAGAGCCCAUGGUGAAGAUGAGGGAAAUGGAUAAGGAAAGCAGGCAGAAGAACCCUGAAAAAAGUCACAAACCGGGAAAAAAAAAAACGAUUUACAAAUUUUGAUUCGCAAAGGACUUAAAAAAAAAAAAAGUCAUUUUCAGGUACCUGUCACAAGUUCAUUGGGCACUGACUUAGGCAACAGGUGGAGGUCAGCAAAGGGUUUCAGGACCCCUUCGAAAUUGCCAAACAUGGAGGACAGGCCCAAGCUGAACAGCAUCAGGAAAAACAAUACCGCCCAUAACUGCGAUCCGGGCAUCUCCAGCACUGCUUCGGUGAAUAAGAUAAAAGCCAGGCCGGUUCCUGAAGCGCUCUGGGAUGUAAAGAAUACAUACAUUGAACAUUCCUGUUGAUUCUAAAACUGCUCGUAUGCGGCAUACAUCCAGUGCACGGGUCUCAAACACAGGGAUGGUCAGAGAAACAAAGACAGAACACGGUGCAAGUGCCGCAAGUCAUGCUGGGAAGCCAGACGCUGUCCAUUGGAUCAGUUGUCCUUGUUUUGGCCCAAACUCUACCUCUCAACAUCCCCCAGCUGCAGGCUUGAGAGCUCAGCAGGACUGGUGCGGUUCAGAUGCUCCACCCAUUGGUCGUAGUUCUCGGUUGUUAUAUUCUGGUCGGAAAACUCAAAGUGGCACGUGUUAAAGGCGUUGUUGGCUUUAAAGCCCAGGAUGGCAAAGAUGGAGAUGGCCGCGUAGAGGGAUGUGGCGCUGUUUAUUAUUCCCACAGCGACUGCAUCCUUUUCACAGUUGUUUCUAAACACCCAAAAUGGCAGGAAUGGAAGACUGAACCACGCCAAUCAUCUUAAAAGUGUUGAUACAAGGGUCCUUACUUUUCGUUGGCAUAGCUGGAGAUGGCUAUCAGACCUCCAAAGGCCACCGACAGAGAGAAGAAGAUCUGGGUUGAGGCGUCUAACCACACCUGAGGGUUCUUCAGUAUCUCCCACUGAAAACGACACAUUCUUGUUAAUAGUUUGGAUCCAUCAUGCUAAAGUAUGUGCUAGCUAACUCACAUCAGGAGUGAAGAGAUAGACCAGUCCAUCUGUAGCUCCGGGCAGGGUGAGGGCACGGAUCAGGAAGAUGGUCAGGACCACGUAAGGCAGAGACGUCAGCUCUGACCUUCCCCAUGGUUUGGAUCCCUUUGAUGAAACAAACAUAGAUCAACAACCAGGCGCAGGCCAGGCAGACCACCAACCACCACUGCAGAGAACCGCUGGUCUCGAUGUCAGCCGUGAUGUUCAGUGUCUGACGGUACCAGAAGUAAUUGACUGGAGUGCUCUUCUCACAUUCAGCAUCCAAACCUGCCAAGUGAGGUAGGAAAGACUCGGUAUCUUCUUUUGGUUUUAGCCACCUGUCUUAUAUUUGGUCUUGCUUUCUUUGCAUUUACCCGUGCGAUUAACGUUGAGCGGACACUGGCUCCACGGGAGAGGGUUCUGGAAGGAGUUGAAAAAGUACCAGAACACCCAGGCCAGGAUGGUGUUGUAGAAAACGCACACCAGGAACGAUACAACCAUGGAGCCGAUGCCUAAUAUGGAGGAAGUGACGCACCAACUCCACCCAGGAAAGGUGAAAUGGACUUCCAGACGCCGAUGCUUCCUUUCCGCAGCCUCUGUCCGAUGGCCAUCUCCAGGUAGAGCAGCGGGAGACCUUCAAACGCCAACGCCAACAGGUAUGGGAUGAGGAACGCUCCUGAAGAUGGAAACAUUUCACACCGAAUAACCUUAAAUCAGCAUGGGUCAAAUAUAGGUAAAUAUAUCAUUAGAUAGCCAUGCUGCACUCCAGUGUAGUCAAUGUUUGUUCAGCUUGACCUUCACUGACAGCUAUGAGGAAGUAAAUGGGCUGUUAGGGGAGGGGGCGCUGCACAAAUGAUCAACAUAAACAUGGCAAGAUUAAAAAAAUAAAAAAAAAAAUAUAUAUAUCCGACUCACCUCCUCCAUAGAUUUGGCACAAGUAGGGAAAACGCCAGACGUUUCCAAUUCCCACCGCAAAACCGAUGGAGGUCAGCAUGUACUGGAUCUUGUUGUCCCAUUUGACUUCCUCCUCCACGGCUCCUCCUUUAGCUUUGGCCAUCUUGAGGCAAUCAAUCCCGCACUUGUUGCACUGGUUCCUUAAUUGGGAGCAUAAAAAAUGACUUGCGCUCCUCGCGUGUUUGCGGUCUUGAACGUGUGGGGAUGGCCUCUUAUCAGUCUUCCCCUCCUCUUGGGGGACGGGGGGGCUGUCCUUCAGUAUCCUAUCACCACCCUUCCAGUCAGGGAGCCAAUUUACUGCUUUGAAUGGCGUUGACUUUUAGUUGGCAACGGCACCAAACUGUUCAAAUACCCAAAUUAUGAAACCACUUUCAAGGUAAAUAAAAAUGCCAAAAUGACAAAAGUCACCAGGAAAGGUAUGAUGGUUUAGUGGAUAAAACCUUUCCGCUUGUUUAAGAUAUGAGCGUGCUAACUUUGCUGAUUAAUGGAUAACCGGUGAUGCCGUGGCAAAGUUACGCUGACCUCGAUCAAGACGAUGCAAAGCUAACAUGAAAGCAUAUUAUGCCUAGCAAGGUAGCGGAGUGUUUAUGAAAGCAAUGAGGUCAUCUGAGCAUGAUAUUCUGUACAUGCCGCAUUCAAUACCAGCUUCUUUGUUCUUUAUCUCAAACUCCUGUACAAGACGAGUUGUUCUCGUUUUUGCAACAUUGCACAUGCCUGCAAUUUAUCUUUUACUUUUCCUCCUCCUGUGGCGAUGUGACUCGGCAGUAUGCUUUUUUUAAAAAUUGUAUAUUCUAGCAUGACCCCCAUUUUGCCGAGGCUGGGGUCUCCUUGCACACAAUCUUGCAAGCUUUUUGUGCUGAAAUGUACAAGAUGCGGCGUCACGCCCCAUGAUCAAGGGAACAGCAUUUUUUAUACGUGCACUCGUGUUCACAGCCGACAAAGCCACAGAGGCAAAAAGCUCUUUAUUGAUGACCCACUUGUCAUAAAACACAGUAAACCUGGCCCCCACUGGAUCAAUAAAGAUGGGUAAUUGAAAAUGCUCCAGGCUAUUUUACUACUUAAUGUGUGCGGGCACAUGCGCCUGCCAGACAUGGACUUUGGUUUACACUUAGUGGUAUUUUUCCAUGAAAGUCACAGAAAUGUCAUCAGCGAAGGUAAACCACGUCUGCGGAAAAUCUGAUGCCGACACUUGCCCCUGUAUUUCAUAGUUGUGGAAUCAAAAUUUGUAGGACAAAUACUGUAGAUUUUCACAGGCCACAUUUGGCCUUUUAAUUGAUUUCCACGUUUGAAAGCUGGUGAUUAGCUCGUCGCUGCACCCAGGCUGGUGUUUCGAACAUCUCAAACUUGUACAGGGUGACAUUAGGGUGGGCGUAACACACCCUGAUGAGGUUGUAGAGAGCCACCAGCGGGAUGGAAAUCACAGGCAGCAAACAAACGAGGAUGAUGAUGGCAAACACCCAGUCUGGGUAGGUCUUCACCUCCGUUUGGGGAAAUAAUUCCUAAAGAGAGAUAAUACACGGAUGAAACUUGUGAGCUAACUGAACACGUUUUGCCACUCUUCUUACAUAAGCAGGGUUCCACGCGCCGUAUGUGGGCUGAUUCUUUGCCUCGAGGACCACAUACGCCACCAGAACCACGAAGAGCAUUAUGGGACUGAUGUAACUCCAGCAAAUCCUCCAGUAAAUAUUGGGCGUCUUCCCAGUCAUGAAGAAGAUGUCUUCAGUGAACCUGAAGGCACAGAGAAAGGCACAGCAAGAUGACAUUUGUACAAGAAGAUGUAUCCAGGAAAAAAAAAGGUUGACUACUCUUUCAAUCCGUGGACAUAAACGACUCCGACCACUUCAAAAAAUGCAACAAUGAGCAGGGGGAUGGAGCCCACGUAGCUGUUGAAGAUCCCCACCCAGUAGUUCCCAGAGCCCAUGGUGAAGAUGAGAGACACCAAAAGGGAGAGUAAGCAGACCACACCUGCAAAAAAAAAAAAAGGAGUAGAGUUCGCCCAGCAGAUGGCAGCAGACCGUAUUUCUACAAUCAUAGCCACCAAUGAAAACAUCUAACCUGUAAAAAGUUCAUUGGGGACACAUUUAGGCACCAGGUUGAGGUCAUGGAAAGAUUUAAGGACUCCCUCAAAGAUGCCAAACAUGGAGGACAGCCCUAAGCUGAAGAGCAUCAGGAAGAACAACGCCGCCCAUAAUUGUGAUCCAGGCAUCUCCAGCACUGCUUCGGUGAACGUGAUGAACGCCAGGCCGGUUCCUGAAGCGCUCUGAGAUAAAAAAAAUAAAUAAAUACACUGUUCAUAGGACCAAACAAGAUGGGAGACAACAUCACCUGGUCUAGGAAGGUUUUUAGGUCACAUGAUUUCAGAUUCAGUUUGCUCAUCUCAACAGGAAACGCCGAAGCCAUGUACUCCAGCUCGUCAUCGUAGUUUUCUGUUGUUAUAUUCUCGGACGCAAAAACCAAGGUGCUCUUCAAAAAAUGGAUGUUUCUGCGGAACAAACAUUCUACAUCAUCCAUCACAUUCCCGUCAGGAAGCUUGGAAAUGAUCUUACUCUUCUCUGCAGCUGUUCAAGGCAUUGUUGGCUUUAAAGCCCAGGAUGGAAAAGACGGAGAUGGAUGCGUAAAGGGAUGUGGCACUGUUUAUUAUUCCCACCAUGACUGCAUCCUUCUCGCAGUUGUUUCUAAAAACACAAAACCGGACCAAUCAAAUUGGGAGUUGGAGUGACUCCCAACAACUGGAAGCUUGCCUUGUUGAUCCUUACAGCUGGUUAUUGUAGCUGGAGAACGCUAUCAGACCUCCAAAUGCUACCGACAGAGAGAAGAAGAUCUGUGUUGCGGCGUCUAACCACACUUGAGGGUCCUUGAGUAUCCCCCACUGAGGACAAGAACUAGCUUAUCUUGCGUCCAUCAUGCUAAACUAUGUGCCAGCUAACUCACAUCAGGAGUGAAGAGAUAGACCAGUCCAUCUGUAGCUCCGGGCAGGGUGAGGGCACGGAUCAGGAAGAUGGUCAGGACGAUGUAAGGCAGAGGGGUUGUCACAUACACAGCCUGUGACACAAAAGCGCAUUUAAUUGCAAGGACUUGUCUUAUAUUUUCAGUCCACUGACCUUUCCCAUUGACUUGAUCCCUUUGAUGAAACAGAGGUAGAGCAUCAACCAGGCGCAGGUCAGGCAGAUCACCAACUUCCACUGCAGAGGCCCGCUGGUCUCGAUGUCCGGCGUGAUGUUCAGCGUCUCACGGUACCAGAAGUAGUUGGCUGGAGUGCUCGUCUUACAUUCUGCCGUCGCAUCUGCAUGAGUACACCAGGUAUGGUCGGUUACUCUACAACAGGGGUCUCAAACUCAAUUUACUUGGGGGCCACUGGAGCUAAGGUCUGGGUGAG